rnacentral:rRNA from 1 species
UACGUAGGGAGCGAGCGUUGUCCGGAUUCAUUGGGCGUAAAGAGCUCGUAGGCGGCUUGGCAAGUCGGGUGUGAAAACUCCAGCUCAACCUGGAGACGCCACCCGAUACUGCCAUGGCUAGAGUCCGGUAGGGGACCACGGAAUUCCUGGUGUAGCGGUGAAAUGCGCAGAUAUCAGGAGGAACACCGGUGGCGAAGGCGGUGGUCUGGGCCGGAACUGACGCUGAGGAGCGAAAGGCGUGGGGAGCGAACAGG